CCCCUGAGCGUGAGGCAGUUUCGGUAGUUCAGUCAUUUUGAACUACCAAAACAUCGAUGACCGUCAGCUUUCCCUUACCAGGGAAGGCGUGGGGG
rnacentral:misc_RNA from 13 species